UCUCCGUAGGUGAACCUGCGGAGGGAUCAUUACAACGUAUCCAACGUAUACACCUUUGUGAAUUUUGUUUGAUUACAAACCAUCGUCCUCGGAAAGAGUGGGCAUGGCAAAUGUUAUGGGAGUGAGAAUUGCAAACUGUAACAUUUGUUCUGCUUUUUCCACCACGUGGCGAUCAAUUCUCAUUUUACCAUUUUUAUUUACCUUUUGUAAAUUUCUUGUUUACCAUAGUAUAAAAGCCACUUGGAGAAAUCCAACGCGGCUUCUAUUCUUAUUAAUUUAAGAAAUUAUACGCACAACUCUUAGCAACGGAUAUCUAGGCUCUC
rnacentral:misc_RNA from 1 species